AUUGAACGCUGGCGGCAGGCCUAACACAUGCAAGUCGAGCGAGCGGCGGACGGGUGAGUAAUGUAUGGGGACUGCCCGAUAGAGGGGGAUAACUACUGGAAACGGUAGCUAAUACCGCAUACUAUCGGAUAACCCAUAUGGGAUUAGAUAGUUGGUGAGGUAAUGGCUCCACAUGGCGACGAUCCCUAGCUGGUCUGAGAUGAUGAUCAGCCACACUGGGACUGCGACACGGCCCAGGCUCCUACGGUGGCAGCAGUUGGGAAUAGUGCACAAUGGGCGCAAGCCUGAUGCAGCCAGGCCGCGUGUAUGAAGAAGUCCCUAGGGUUGUAAAGUACUGUCAGUCGGGAGGCGUUACCGACAGAAGAAGCACCGGCUAACUCCGUGCCAGCAGCCGCGGUAAUAC
rnacentral:rRNA from 1 species